AAUAGAUACCCGGGUAGUCCACGCCGUAAACGGUGGGCACUAGGUGUGGGACUCAUUCCACGAGUUCCGUGCCGUAGCUAACGCAUUAAGUGCCCCGCCUGGGGAGUACGGCCGCAAGGCUAAAACUCAAAGGAAUUGACGGGGGGCCCGCACAAGCGGCGGAGCAUGCGGAUUAAUUCGAUGCAACGCGAAGAACCUUACCUGGGUUUGACAUAUACCGGAAAGCUGCAGAGAUGUAGCCCCCGCAAGGUCGGUAUACAGGUGGUGCAUGGCUGUCGUCAGCUCGUGUCGUGAGAUGUUGGGUUAAGUCCCGCAACGAGCGCAACCCUCGUCCUAUGUUGCCAGCGGAUAAUGCCGGGGACUCAUAGGAGACUGCCGGGGUCAACUCGGAGGAAGGUGGGGAUGACGUCAAGUCAUCAUGCCCCUUAAGUCCAGGGCUUCACGCAUGCUACAAUGGCUGGUACAAAGGGCUGCAAUGCCGCAAGGUUGAGCGAAUCCCAAAAAGCCAGUCUCAGUUCGGAUUGGGGUCUG
rnacentral:rRNA from 1 species